GAACCGGAGAUUUUGCUCUCCCUGGUGGUCACACAUUGCAUCUAUUGCCUCAUCUUUGGAUUCAUGAGCCUGCUGUGGCAGAGAAGACAUGCACGCCUCGAUUCAAAUUCCCAAUGGAUUGGAUCGGGAAAUAGGACAGAACAGGUUUCACGUGGCGUCUCUUCUACGUCUUUAAAGAAGAAACCAUAGAAGAAGAAAAACAACAUGAUUCAAAAGGAGACUAUAGAAAGAUGCAGAUACUAGAUGAUAUGUCUGUUGGUACAGUUAGACUAUUCAUUUAAAUCAAUCACAUUCAUUUUAUAGAGCACUUUUUAAAACAGCAGUUGUCACAAAGUGCUCUACAGAUACCCAGUCUAAAACCACAAAGAGCUUUACAGAUACCGAGUCUAAAACCACAAAGAGCAAGGAAUGCAGAGGCAGAACCACAGUGGAAAAACUCAGUAGAAAGGCAGGAACCUAGGAAGAAACCUACAGAGGAACCAGGCUCCGAGGGGUGGCCUGUCCUCUUCUAGCUGUACCAGGUAGAGAGGAACCAGGCUCCGAGGGGUGGCCAGUCCUCUUCUAGCUGUACCAGGUGGAGAGGAACCAGGCUCCUAGGGGUGGCCAGUCCUCUUCUAGCUGUACCAGGUGGAGAGGAACCAGGCUCCUAGGGGUGACCAGUCCUCUUCUAGCUGUCCCAGGUAGAGAGGAACCAGGCUCCUAGGGGUGGCCAGUCCUCUUCUAGCUGUACCAAGUGGAGAGGAACCAGGCUCCUAGGGGUGGCCAGUCCUCUUCUAGCUGUCCCAGGUGGAGAGGAACCAGGCUCCUAGGGGUGGCCAGUCCUCUUCUAGCUGUACCAGGUGGAGAGGAACAAGGCUCCUAGGGGUGGCCAGUCCUCUUCUAGCUGUACCAGGUGGAGAGGAACCAGGAUCCUAGGGGUGGCCAGUCCUCUUCUAGCUGUCCCAGGUAGAGAGGAACCAGGCUCCUAGGGGUGGCCAGUCCUCUUCUAGCUGUACCAGGUAGAGAGGAACCAGGCUCCUCGGGGUGGCCAGUCCUCUUCUGGCUGUACCAGGUAGAGAGGAACCAGGCUCCUCUGGGUGGCCAGUCCUCUUCUAGCUGUCCCAGGUAGAGAGGAACCAGGCUCCUCGGGGUGGCCAGUCCUCUUAUGGCUGUACCAGGUAGAGAGGAACCAGGCUCCUCGGGGUGGCCAGUCCUCUUCUGGCUGUACCAGGUUGAGAGGAACCAGGCUCCUCGGGGUGGCCAGUCC
ensembl:lncRNA